AUUAAGCAUAUCAAUAAGCGGAGGAAAAAGAAACCAACAGCCAUUGCCACAGUAACGGCGAGUGAAGCGGCAAGAGCUCAAAUUUGAAAGCUGGCUCCUUCGGGGUCCGCAUUGUAAUUUGCAGAGGAUGCUUCGGGAGCGGUCCCCAUCUAAGUUCCCUGGAACGGGACGUCAUAGAGGGUGAAAAUCCCGUAUGGGAUGGGGUGUCCGCGCCCGUGUGAAGCUCCUUCGACGAGUCGAGUUGUUUGGGAAUGCAGCUCUAAAUGGGUGGUAAAUUUCAUCUAAAGCUAAAUAUUGGCCGGAGACCGAUAGCGCACAAGUAGAGUGAUCGAAAGAUGAAAAGCACUUUGAAAAGAGAGUUAAAAAGCACGUGAAAUUGUUGAAAGGGAAGCGCUUGCGACCAGACUCGCUCGCGGGGUUCAGCCGGCAUUCGUGCCGGUGUACUUCCCCGCGGGCGGGCCAACGUCGGUUUGGGCGGUCGGUCAAAGGCCCUCGGAAGGUAACGCCCCCAGGGGCGUCUUAUAGCCGAGGGUGCAAUGCGACCUGCCUAGACCGAGGAACGCGCUUCGGCUCGGACGUUGGCAUAAUGGUCGUAAGCGACCCGUCUUGAAACACGGACCAAGGAGUCUAACAUCUACGCGAGUGUUCGGGUGUCAAACCCGUGCGCGCAGUGAAAGCGAACGGAGGUGGGAACCCUUUGGGUGCACCAUCGACCGAUCCUGAUGUCUUCGGAUGGAUUUGAGUAAGAGCGUAGCUGUUGGGACCCGAAAGAUGGUGAACUAUGCCUGAAUAGGGCGAAGCCAGAGGAAACUCUGGUGGAGGCUCGUAGCGGUUCUGACGUGCAAAUCGAUCGUCGAAUUUGGGUAUAGGGCGAAAGACUAAUC
rnacentral:rRNA from 1 species